rnacentral:tRNA from 1 species
GGAGGAAGCUCAGUAGCAGGUCAGCAUGGGUACGAUCCCCGCCGCACAGCGGCAACCCCUCACGAGUUCGAAUCUCGUAUCCUCCGCCA